UUUUUUGUGGCUUAGUUGGUUAAAGCGCCGGUCUAGCGAAUACGGAGUCGUGGGUUCGAAUUCCACCAGAACAC
rnacentral:tRNA from 1 species